rnacentral:lncRNA from 1 species
GUUGAGUUUAAGCUUUGUAAGCUUUUUUGUUGUAUUUAUACAGUUUCUGUGUGAUUUUGUUUAUUUUGAUAAGAUUGAGAUAAAUGCAGUAUAUUAAGGGUCUUGGGCUUUUGUAACAGAGUUCCGGACUCAUUUAAUUUACAUCGAAUAGGUAAUGUAAAAAAAAAACACGUCUGUAAAUAUUUGUUGCGGAUCAUGAUGAGAUUUACAUAGACUGUUAAAAAAAAAAAAAUGGGCGAAGCCAUCGAUGACGUCACCCCAUUUGAGAAUGCUCAGUGGCGUGUUUAAAGAUCAGGAAGUGUCAUUUCAGCGUGUCACCAUCUUGCAACAUGGAGUUUUUGGAAACGUCUCAUGCUCAGUUUAAGCUACUGUAUGAAGUGAAGUUGCAGGCUUGCUCAGUCCUGCCCCCUCAUUGAGGAUCUCCAGUUGAAGGCUGACUGAGUUGUUUCCUGAGGUUUCUGAACACACCCUGUCUGGUAGCCGGGUGACGAAGCUAGGCGGGAGAUCUCUCAAUUACCCGCACCUGCAUCUCAUCAGCCAUCUGCACACCUGGUCCUGAUCAUCACCUCUUCUCUUCAUAAGCUCUGACCUGACAUCCAUUCCCCGCUGGAUCGUUAGCAAUGAACAUCAUUCUCCCGGAACAUUCACCCACCCGCCUGGUCGUCGGUGGCUUCUGUGACAUCAUUGGAUCUGCCUAUUCACUCUCAUCAACUCAC